CAUUAGUUUAGUGGUAAAAUAUGCCUUCCAAGCAAAUGUGGAGAGUUCGAUUCCCGGAUG
rnacentral:tRNA from 14 species